rnacentral:lncRNA from 1 species
UUGUUAGUCUCUUUCUUGUGCUUGUGAAAUUGUGUAGGUUUUUAAAUUGCGUAGUUUCAGGAAAGGUGUUUCAAACUUUCAGGAUAGCUUUCCAGAAAAUCGAAUACUAGAAAAUUUGAAAAAAAAUAUGGCUUGGUUAAGCAGGACAGCAAUGCGAUGGGAGAUUAACUGCCUGUCAUGCUAAGACUAAGUUUUUGAACUUUGAUGUUGUCUUGGACAAGUAAGAAGUUUGUAACGAAUGAUGACGACGUUUGUUUCAGGUAGGUUGUUAUUAAAGAAAUUUUAGGAUGUCUUGA